rnacentral:lncRNA from 7 species
GAGACAUUUCUUUCUCUUCUUUCACUUUCUUUGAUAUUAUGAAAGGAUGUAGUUCUGCCUGAACACAUUGAAUUCAGUGGAAGGAAACGAUGCUUUCACCUUACAUGAAAAUGUUAAAGUUUCACAGAAGAGCUAAAUAUAAAACUAUUAUUCACAACUCGUAUUUUAUGGAAGCUGCAGUAUUGUUUCUGCAUGUUUUUUUUCUUCAUGAGCUAUAACUUUAGCUAUGAAUAAGAGCUCUCAGUACUCUCGGACCACUUCCUAUUUUCUACGCUGUGGAUCCAAGCAAGGGCUAUGUUUAUGUGCUUUUUUUAACUCUCCCCAACAGAGUUGUCCUCUGAUCUGCUGAGAGCCGUGAUGUGCCAAUCCACUGUUCAUAACAAGUUAUAUUUGGAAAACUACACAUGCUCUUGCUGAGGGGAUUAAAACAGUGAAUUUAUAGCUUCCCAGUUGGAUGGAAGAAUCCAUUUUUCGUAAUUGUGUGCAUGCACAAAUGUUUAAGAGAAAAAAAAAAAAAACCACAAUGUUUUGUCCUCUUGACUACAGUCAGGUUCAAUGAUUAGUGGCCAAAAUCCAUUCUG